AUUGAACACUGGCGGCAGGCUUAACACAUGCAAGUCGAACGCGUGGCGGACGGGUGACUAAUGCUUGGGAAUCUAGCUUAUGGCAGGGGAUAACUACGGGAAACUGUAUCUAAUACCGCGUACCCUAGGAUGAGCCCACGUGGGAUUAGGUAGUUGGUGAGGGAAAGGCUCACCAAGCCGACGAUCUCUAGCUGGUCUGAGAGGAUGACCAUGCACACUGGAACUGAGACACGGCCCAGACUCCCACGGGAGGCAGCAGUGGGGAAUAUUGCGCAAUGGGGGCAACCUGACGCAGCAAUGCCGCGUGAAGGAAGAAGGCCUUCGGGUUGUAAAGUUCUUUCGGUAGCGAGGCGUUAACUACAGAAGAAGCACCGGCUAACUCCGUGCCAGCAGCCGCGGUAAUUC
rnacentral:rRNA from 1 species